GGGAGCCAUCUUAGCAACUAGUGCAGGUGACAUCCAAAAAUUUUUCUUUACACAUUAGCUUAUGCAUUUGCACCAUUUAUAUAUGUGAGUACUAAUGUUAUUUUAUAAUUGAUCGAUUAGUGUCCAAGACAAGAAGGAGGGUUCGAAUGUGGCUACUUUGUUAUGAGAUUCAUUAAAGAGAUAAUUUUUUAUCCUACAAUUAUUGCUUCAAAGUUUGGUAAUAAAAAAAAACAUAUUCUCAAGUAGAAUUCGAUGAAAUUAGAGGAGAAUGGGCUACUUUUGUGCUACAACUAAUCAUGAAUCAUGUUGAUGCAUCAUGAUCACCAUGCAUGGUGAGUCCCUUAGCUACUACAUGAAUUUUUCCAUAGGUAUACACUCUUGGGAGGGUGAAAUGGAGAAUAAAAAGAAAGAAGAAGGCAACAAGAUUUUGGGUUUUUAAAUGCAACUCUUAUGUCAUACGUUGUAGGACAUAAACGUUACUUUAAUUGCAACUGAGAAAUUUAGAUUUUUAGAUGGGACUUCUAUGUCAUUUUAUGGUUAGCCGGUUUUAUGCUUAUGAAAUGGAGGUAUACAUGAAUCUUGGGAUCUUUAACAUUUCUAAAUCAUGUUUUGGUA